UACAGAUGCUGGAGAGGAUGUGGAGAAAAGGGAACCCUCAUGCACUAUUGGUGGGAAUGCAAACUGGU